GGCUCAGGACGAACGCUGGCGGCGUGCCUAAUACAUGCAAGUCGAACGGUCUUUCUAUGGAAGCUUGCUUCCACUGAGAAGAUAGUGGCGAACGGGUGAGUAACACGUGGGUAACCUGCCCAUAAGAGGGGGAUAACAUCCGGAAACGGGUGCUAAUACCGCAUAGUUUUCUUGAUCGCAUGAUCGGGAAAGGAAAGACGGCCUUUGUGCUGUCGCUUAUGGAUGGACCCGCGGCGUAUUAGUUAGUUGGUGGGGUAACGGCUCACCAAGACGAUGAUACGUAGCCGACCUGAGAGGGUGAUCGGCCACAUUGGGACUGAGACACGGCCCAAACUCCUACGGGAGGCAGCAGUAGGGAAUCUUCCGCAAUGGACGAAAGUCUGACGGAGCAACGCCGCGUGAGUGAAGAAGGUUUUCGGGAAUCGUAAAACUCUGUUGUCAGAGAAGAACAAGUUGGAGAGUAACUGCUCCAGCCUUGACGGUAUCUGACCAGAAAGCCACGGCUAACUACGUGCCAGCAGCAGC
rnacentral:rRNA from 1 species